rnacentral:rRNA from 1 species
UACGGGGGGAGCAAGCGUUGUUCGGAUUUACUGGGCGUAAAGGGCGCGUAGGCGGUCAGCACAAGUCAGUUGUGAAAUCUCCGGGCUUAACUCGGAAAGGUCAACUGAUACUGUGCGACUAGAGUGCGGAAGGGGCAACUGGAAUUCUCGGUGUAGCGGUGAAAUGCGUAGAUAUCGAGAGGAACACCUGCGGCGAAGGCGGGUCUCUGGGCCGAUACUGACGCUGAGGAGCGAAAGCGUGGGGAGCAAACAGG